rnacentral:rRNA from 1 species
CAGCCUUCAGAGCCAUUCCUUCUCCCGAGGUUGCGGAACCAUUUUGCCGACUUCCUUUAUCUACAUUGCUCUAUCGACUAGAGGCUGUUCACCUUGGAGACCUGAUGCGGUUAUGAGUACGACCAGGCGUGAGAACGAACCGCUCCCCCGGAUUUUCACGGGCCGUCGGGAGCGCGCCGGACACCUCAAGACUUAAGGUGCUUUGCCUGCCGUGUAGCCCUACCUCCGGCCGAACCGAUUCCAGGGCAAGAGGCAGUUAAGAAGAAAAGAGAACUCUUCCCAGGGCUCCCGCCGGCGUCUCCGGGUUCGUUCGCGUCGCCGCCCACCAUCCACGCGCUGGCUCGGGAAUAUUAACCCGAUUCCCUUUCGACGGACGGGCCGACUGAAGCGGCCACGUUCGGCGGAGCUCUCCUGUCUCUUAGGGUCGGCUCACCCAUGUCCAACUGCUGUUCACAUGGAACCUUUCUCCACUUCAGUCUUCAAAGUUCUCAUUUGAAUAUUUGCUACUACCACCAAGAUCUGCACCGGAGGCCGCUUCACCCAGGCUCACGCCCAAGGCUGCGUCGCGAACCCCGCGCCCCCCUACUCGCCGGCGCCUCGCGCUCGCGCCGGCGGCCGCGCAUCGGUGGUCCGCUUGAGCGCCAUCCAUUUUCAGGGCUAGUACCUUCGGCAGGUGAGUUGUUACACACUCCUUAGCGGGUUCCGACUUCCAUGGCCACCGUCCUGCUGUCUGGAGGUACCAACGCCUUUUGUGGUCUCUGAUGAGCGGACACUUAGGUACCUUAGCGCGGCGUUCGGUUCAUCCCGCAUCGCCAGUUCUGCUUACCAAAAAUGGCCCACUUUGAACGCGCCGUUCGCCGCGCGGGAUCAAUCAAGCAUCCCGCGCCUCUUGCCCAUUUAAAGUUUGAGAAUAGGUUAAGGCUGUUUCAGCCCCAAGGCCUCUAAUCAUUCGCUUUACCUGACAAAACCGUCGGCGUUCAAGCUAUCCUGUGGGAAACUUCGGAGGGAACCAGCUACUAGAUGGUUCGAUUAGUCUUUCGCCCCUAUACCCAAGUUCGACGAACGAUUUGCACGUCAGUAUCGCUACGAGCCUCCACCAGAGUUUCCUCUGGCUUCACCCUCCUCAGGCAUAGUUCACCAUCUUUCGGGUCCCGACACACGUGCUCCACUCAAACCCUUCACAGAAGAUCAAGGUCGGUUGGCGGGGUACGCCCUUCACUUUCAUUGCGCACGCGGGCUUGCCACCCGGGUACUCGCACACGUGUCAGACUCCUUGGUCCGUGUUACUAGACGGGUCGGUUGCGCCCGUUCCGUCAACCAGAGCCGCCCGCGCGGCGCUCCCGCAGGCUCGCCGAAGCCCUGCCUGCGGGCAUGUCCCGCCCGAACAGCCCGGGGUGACCCGCGCCGACAAAGUGCACCGCGCGAAGACGCACGGCUGAGUCGACGGCGCGAAGCCGGGCGCAAACGGGUUUCCUCUUGCCGAUUUCAAGCACUCUUUAACUCUCUUUUCAAAGUUCUUUGCAUCUUUCCCUCACGGUACUUGUUCGCUAUCGGUCUCUCGCCAGUAUUUAGCUUUAGAUGGAAUUUACCACCCACUUCAAGCUGCAAUCCCAAGCAACCCGACUCGGCAAGAUCGCAUCGUGCGACCGCGAACCGCCACGGCACAGGAUUCUCACCUUCUCCGAUACCCCGUUCCAAGGGAUUUGAGCGGCGGACGCGGCCGAUGGCGACUUUCUAGACUACAAUUCGGGGGGUCAGCUGAGGCGACCUCCAGAUUGGCGGCGUGAGCUCUGCCCGCUUCAUUCGCCAUUACUAGGGGCAUCCUGGUUAGUUUCUUCUCCUCCGCUUAGUGAUAUGCUUAAGUUCAGCGGGUAGCCUUGCUUCAUUCGAUGGCGGAUCAAAAACGACACGCCGCGCGAGGACGCGCAGCGGACGGGGAAGGGGCGGACGCGGCGCCGUGCACACACAACAGAGGCACGGUGACGCGACGCCCCGCGCCAGAGAGAGACGCAGCGCUCAGACACCCAACGGAUACGGAAGCCCGUGAAGACUCUUAACACGUCGGGGACGCGAACCCGUGCGCGCAAGCACACACGGGACGCGACCGCGCUGCCUCUCGGCGACGCUCGCUCCUUGAGCCGGCGCGCGAGGCGGGUGCGACGUGCGCACACGCCGCGCGAGGCGGCCACGGUCGGGCGCGCGCGGAGCGCGCGCCCAGGCGGGUGGAGGCGCCACUCGAAGAAACAUGCUCCCAGGCGGAACCUGGAAGCGCCAGUUGCGUUCAAAGGUUCGAUGAUUCACUGAAUUCUGCAAUUCGCACUACGUAUCGCAUUUCGCUGCGUUCUUCAUCGUUGCGAGAGCCAAGAUAUCCAUCGACAAGAGUUGUGUGUUGUGACAACUCGAGUGGAGGCCGGACGGGCGACGCGCGAGACGCACGCGAGGACCGCACCCUGGAGACAGGGCAAGGGCCACGCGACGCGCACGACGCGGACGCGCGCGGCACGGCGCUCCAGCGGGGGGCACGCUACGGCGGGGAGCCGAGGCGGCCAGACGGCUGCCGGACGAGCCAGCAGUGCCUGCGCGACGACGCCACGCACGGAGGCGGACGCCGACGCGCAGAGGACGCGCUCCGAUAAUGAAACGGUGCGCGCCCGGAAGACGGA